rnacentral:rRNA from 1 species
AGUGAACGCUGGCGGCGUGCUUAACACAUGCAAGUCGAACGAGAACGGGCUAUAGCUUGCUAUAGUCGUCAGCAAAGUGGCGCACGGGUGAGUAAUGUAUAGGUAAUAUGCCUCUUACUAAGGGAUAACAAAUGGAAACGUUUGCUAAUACCUUAUACUCCUUAUUAACAGAAGUUAAUAAGGGAAAGAUUUAUUGGUAAGAGAUUAGCCUGUAUUGUAUCAGUUAGUUGGUGGGGUAAUGGCCUACCAAGACUAUGACACAUAACUGGUUUGAGAGGAUGAUCAGUCACACUGGAACUGAGACACGGUCCAGACCCCUACGGGAGGCAGCAGUGGGGAAUAUUGCACAAUGGACGAAAGUCUGAUGCAGCAACGCUGCGUGGAGGACGACACAUUUCGGUGCGUAAACUCCUUUUAUAUGAGAAGAUAAUGACGGUAUUAUAUGAAUAAGCACCGGCUAACUCCGUGCCAGCAGCCGCCGUAA